UGAGGAAUAUUGGUCAAUGGGCGCAGGCCUGAACCAGCCAAGUCGCGUGAGGGAAGACGGUCCUACGGAUUGUAAACCUCUUUUGUCGGGGAGUAACGUGCGGGACGGGUCCCGUAUUGAGAGUACCCGAAGAAAAAGCAUCGGCUAACUCCGUGCCAGCAGCCGCGGUAAUACGGAGGAUGCGAGCGUUAUCCGGAUUUAUUGGGUUUAAAGGGAGCGCAGGCCGCCCCUUAAGCGUGUUGUGAAAUGCCGCGGCUCAACCGUGGCACUGCAGCGCGAACUGGGGGCUUGAGUGCGCGCAGCGCAGGCGGAACUCGUGGUGUAGCGGUGAAAUGCUUAGAUAUCACGAAGAACUCCGAUCGCGAAGGCAGCCUGCGGGAGCGCAACUGACGCUGAGGCUCGAAAGUGCGGGUAUCGAACAGGAUUAGAUACCCUGGUAGU
rnacentral:rRNA from 1 species